CGGAGGGGCUAGCGUUGUUCGGAAUUACUGGGCGUAAAGCGCACGUAGGCGGAUUGGAAAGUUGGGGUGAAAUCCCGGGGCUCAACCCCGGAACUGCCUUCAAAACUCCCAGUCUGGAGGUCGAGAGAGGUGAGUGGAAUUCCGAGUGUAGAGGUGAAAUUCGUAGAUAUUCGGAGGAACACCAGUGGCGAAGGCGGCUCACUGGCUCGAACCUGACGCUGAGGUGCGAAAGCGUGGGGAGCAAACAGGAUU
rnacentral:rRNA from 1 species